GCAGGCAACUACAGAAGCGUACUACCGCAACAGGGAUCUGGCUAAGAAGUUUCUGAUCUUUAUUGCCCUCACUGUUCGGUUUUGAGGUGACUAUUUAGGAGUUGUUGCUGCCGGGCAGCUGAACUGGAGGCCCCGCAGGGUCCUCCGCUGGUAGGGAUCUUGCCUCUAAGGUUUGAGUUGUGGCUUCACUUCCGCCGGUAUCCUUCCACCGCCGAGUCCUGAGACCUCAGCCAGCUCUCGCUGAGUCACAUUCCUGUGGCUAAGCUAGGCUCUUCUUGUGGAACGAGAAGGCGGGGGCCACCGGGAACCCAGUCACGCAGAGAUCUCGGGCUCCCUAUUGCCUGGCCCUCGCUACCAAACCCUCCUCUGCUCCUCACCAGCCCGGUGCAGAGCUGUAGACCGAACUUUCCCGAGUGGACACGGGACUGAAAUGUGAACGCGGACCUUGUGGCCACGACUCCACUUGGGAGGUUCAGCUUCCAUGUCUGGGACGCUACAGGCGCCUGGGUGGUUCGUGUCACAGAGGAGGGUUCCAUAGUGUCCUGCAGGAUCUGUAACGCCAGCCAUGAGGAAAGAGCCUAGCCGCUUCCUGUGUCCCAGCGCUAAAGAGACAAAAUACCAUGACCAAAAGCAACUUAAGAAAGUUUCUUUCAGCUUAUAGUUGCAGAGGGAUAAAGUCCAUCAUAGUGAGGAAGGCAUGAAAUGGCAGCAGGAACUGAAAACAGAGAUCAUAUUUCAUCUGCACACAGAAAAUAGAGGAUAAAGCUUCCCAGAAGCAUAUCAGGAUGGUGAGUGUGACAGACUCAGAUCUGAUGCAAGCAGAAAAAUCUCUUCUACCUGUUCUCUUCAUACCCAUGGUGCUUUCCCCAGAGACCCCCCUCUCUCCUGGUAGGAGGUCAGAGCCGAUUCAAUCAAUGCAAAAAUUGAUUUUAUCACACACACACACACACACACACACACACACACACACACACACACACACACACGGGGGUUCCCAUGCCCUCUACUUUUACCAGUAACGAAUGGAUCCCAUCCAUCCUAUAGUAACGACUGUUGGUUGGACAGGGAUUUAACAUCUGGGAACCUGUCUGAGUCAACUUGAGUAAAACGCACACACACACACAAAAAAAUUUGCACAGACUUCUGAGACAGAAAACUAAACAAAUGCUGUCUGGGAACUAAGUGUCCACAUCCAUCACUGAGAAACCAGAGAUGCGGGUCAGUCUAGGGCCUGUUCUCUCCCCCUCGGCACUCCUAGUUCACAUUGUUCCAUGCUGUCCUGUCACCAUGUUUUGUUUAUUUCUGCUUCUUCUGACCAUAACUGUUGUCAAAGCCUCACUGUUGGCUGCUGCAGGCAUUUCCCAAGGGAAAGGGUUUAGUCCCCAGUAAGAAGACAUUUCCAUAGGCAUGAAGUUUGAGUGGGAAGAAGAAUCAGGCAUGUACACUUUCAGGAAUCUAAAAUAAGUCAGAUUUUUUUUUUAAGUAAGGCUGUUCCACCUUGCCAUCUGUCCCUCUCACAUGUCUCCCAUAUUGUGAUGUGACCAGAGAAUCCCAGCAGAGCCAAAAAAAAAAAAAAAAAUGGUGACACUCAUCUUGCAGGUUCAGCCGUCAGAGUGGAUCUCAACAAACUCCUGUUUUUUCUAAAGUGUCCAGCCUCUGGUGAUUUGUGUGCCGCAGGAAAACAGACUAAGACCUCAAAAGGGUUCAUCUCACAACCCAGACCCAGGACAAGGCAGAUAUCUUUGUCAGGGGCAGUUUGUCUCCACCACAGAACAAUGUCUGUUCUGGCGAGAAAAUGUUCAUGGCGAGAAUGUUGUUUCCUUAGUAACAACCACAGACAUAGUGUCAUAAAAUGGCCAUGUUAUCAUUUUUAUAGGCUCUUUGUACUAGAGGACAUAAUAAGACCUGUCUCAAACAAACAUACAACUACCAAAUUAAACAAGGCUUGACACCCAUGUUGCAUCUCUGCCACAUUAUUACUGGCAGCUCCCUGGGAGAUACUUGAGGUCUAGAGAUGGCUCUACAGCUAAAGCACUUGCUGUAUAAGCAAUAGUACCAGAGUCAGAUCCCCAGACCCCAAGUAAAUGCCAGGUAGGCAUGGUACCCCACCUGUAAUUCCAGUCUUGAAAAUCAGAGAUGGGGACCCCAUAAUCAAGCUGGCUAACAAGACCUGCCUCAGUGAAUGAGGUAGAAAGCAAAGGAAGGUAAUUCCUAACAUCAAACUCAGCCUCCUCAUAUGCACAUGCACACCCACCUGCAUCCAGGUGCUCGCACAAACAAGCAGACAUGCAUACGCAGACAGCAGACAUCUGCAUCACUUACAUGUAAAAAAGGUGGGGGCAGCGAGAAAAGAAUGCCUAAAGGCUGGAAUGACUCAAUGGCAAAGAGCCAAAACCACCUGAAACUUCCAUGGCACAAAAAUAUGGCCCCCCAGGGCAGAGUGAAGCAAUGCUCAGUGCAGCUGCAGAUAGAUAAGAACAGAUAUUUGCCGGGCGGUGGUGGCUCACGCCUUUAAUCCCAGCACUCGGGAGGCAGAGGCAGGCGGAUCUCUGUGAGUUCGAGGCCAGCCUGGUCUACAAAGCGAGUUCUAGGAAAGGCGCAAAGCUCCACAGAGAAACCCUGUCUCAAACAAACAAAACAAAACAAAAAAGGACAGAUACUCUUGGUCCCUCCCUGUAACUACUGCAAAUGACUAAAUAGGGUCUGAGUGGGGGAAUUUUAGAAGGGGCCAUCCAGGGGACACAGUCAAAGACACAAAGACAGGAGUGGCAAGAUCACAGUCUAGAGGAAAUGGGAGAUCUUAACAUUAUUGUAAUCUUUGUAAGCUAUAGUGGGCACACUGAGAUGUCAGGGAUCCGCUUUCCUGGGCUUAUAAGCCAUGGGCUUGCUCAUGAUGGCUCUGAAUCUUUAACACACAUUUCCAUCAGAUUGUGCUUCCCACGCAAGGUUCUGUUCACAGCUGUGGGAAAUCGCUUCUCACUGACUCUGAGGCUACAUCUAUCAUUUCCAUAACAAGAGGAGAAACAAACCUUUUUUUAUCAUCCUCUGAGAAUGCCACACCCUCAGAGCCUAUGUGAGAAAGAAGGACCUUCGUCUGUGUACUUAUUACAGUGGACACCUUACAUGUAUCACUGUGACCUAUAUUGCCAGAACUACUGACAUUCUAUCACCAACACAAACCUUUGACUGUGUUUGACUCACUUUGUCCAAGGCUCAAUCCAAUUUGCAAGGCUCUGCAUUGAUCUUCACACCAAAGCUGAGACUGAUUAGUCACAGCAAAAAUGAUGUAUUAAAGAAAAUAAGUCAGCUGUGUGAAGAAAAGAGUCACCGUGUGUCCUGUACAAAAGGUACCCAGGUACAAAGGCACAAUGUAGUUUGUUCGACUUGUGAAAAAACACAAAGUGGGAGCUCUGGUCUAUUCACCUGGAGACCUGCAACCAUGGGGUCUUCUCCAUAUCCUGAGGUUCCCAUGUAUAAAAAAUGAAGAGACAACACAGUACUAUAAAGCAAUGAUUUGUUUGAAUUGUCACUUUAUAAUAAAUUGGAAUGAUAUUUUGCUCCUGUUUAAGGAUUUAAGUUAUGUGCUGAAAGCCAGGUGGUGGUGGUGCACACCUUUAAUCCUGGCAUUUGGGAGGCAGAGACAGGUGAAUCUCUGAGUUCAAGGCCAAUCUGGUCUACAGCAUGAGUUCCAGGACAGCCAGGGCUACAUAGAUAAAUGCUGCCUUGAAAAACCACACACACACAUAAAAAUGUAAGUUAUGAAUUAUGUAUUAGAGAACAAUUAGAUAGAAACAGGAAACUAUCAAGCAGGAUGGCCUGUGUCUCACCUGUUGGACUCUCUCUUGAAUGGAGAUCAUGGCCUCAUUUGAGGAAACUUCUAAGGUUGUGGGUCUGAGCCAAUGACACUCCAUCAGCUAUGACAGGUCACUCUGAUGUUUGGAAACAUCAUCUGGGGAAAUUAUCAAACCCAGGACCACCUUCAAGGACCACCUGGCUUCAAAUCACAUCUCAGAACUGUCCUUGUGAAAAGGAGUGUGGGAGGGACCCUGAAGAAAGGUUAGGCAUCCUGAAAAUCUCCCCUAAAUGCACCCCACUGUCACAUCCCAACCUGUGCUAUCUACUUGAAGCCACCAGGCACAUCUGACCAUUUGUACUGGCUGAUUUUGUUUGUCAACUUGACACAAGCUAGAGUCAUCAGAGAGGAAGGAGCCUCAGUUGAUGAGAAAUGCCUCAAUGACAUCCAGCUAUAAAGUAUUUUCUCAUUUAGUGAUAACUGAGUGAGGGUCAAGCCCAUGGUAGGUGGUGUCAUCCCUGGGCAGGUGGUGCUGGGUUCUAUAAGAAGGUGGCUGAUUGGGCCAGAGGACGCAAGCCAGUAAGCAGUUCCUCUCCAUGGCCUCUGCAUCAGCUCCUGCUUCUGGGAUCCUGCCCUUUUUGGAGUUCUUGUCCUGACUUCCUUCAGUGACCAACAACAAUGCUGAAGUAUAAGCCUAAUAAACCCUUUCCUCCCCAA